GGAAUAUUGGUCAAUGGGCGAGAGCCUGAACCAGCCAAGUAGCGUGCAGGAUGACGGCCCUAUGGGUUGUAAACUGCUUUUAUAGAGGGCUAAAGUCACCCACGUGUGGGUGUUUGUAGGUACUAGAUGAAUAAGGACCGGCUACUUCCGGGCCAGCAGCCGCGGUAAUACGGAAGGUCCUGGCGUUAUCCGGAUUUAUUGGGUUUAAAGGGAGCGCAGGCCGACGGUUAAGCGUGACGUGAAAUGUAGCCGCUCAACGGCUGAACUGCGUCGCGAACUGGCCGUCUUGAGUGGGUACGACGUCAGCGGAAUUCGUGGUGUAGCGGUGAAAUGCUUAGAUAUCACGAAGAACCCCGAUUGCGAAGGCAGCCAACAAGGCCUUUACUGACGCUAAAGCUCGAAGGUGCGGGUAUCGAACA
rnacentral:rRNA from 1 species